rnacentral:rRNA from 1 species
AUUGAACGCUGGCGGCAGGCCUAACACAUGCAAGUCGAGCGCAUGAAUGGAGCUGGCUCCUGGAUUCAGCGGCGGACGGGUGAGUAAUGCCUAUGAAUCUGCCUGGUCUCGGGGGAUAACGUCCUGAAACGGGCGCUAAUACCACGUACGACGUGAGGGCGGAAAUGGGUGAUCUUCGGACCGCUUGCUAUCAGAUUAGGCUAGGUCGCAUUAGCUAGUAGGAGGGAUAACUGACUACCAAGGCGACGCUCCGUAACUGGUCUGAGAGGAUGAUCAGUCACACUGGAACAGAGGCACGGUACAGACACCUACGGGAGGAAGCAGUGGGGAAUAUUGGACAAUGGGCGAGAGCCUGAUACAGGCAUGCCGCGGGUGUGAAGAAGGUCUUCGGAUUGUAAAGCACUUUAAGUUGGGAGGAAGGGAAGUAAGUUAAUACGUUGCUGUUUUGACGGUACCAACAGAAUAAGCACCGGCUAACUUCGUG